UGGACCGGUCCUCGAUAAAAAUUCUACCGGACACUUGAACAACACUGUGCAGGCUCCAGCAGUUAUUGGGUGUCGCAUUCACUAGGUAAAACAACUGGACACGAGAAAAAUGUCUACAACACCGUAAUCUAGAGGGGAUCUCUCGGACGAGUUUCGACGUCCGCGAAUUCUCUUUCGGUCGUUACGGGUUAAAGAAGAAUCGGCGAACGGGGGAUAGAGGGAGGAACACCAGCUAGUUAAUGGCGCAAAUGUGGGCAUAGGGGCAGUCAGUCCGGUCGAGGCAUCCAAGGAGGCAGGCGAGCAGUCAAGUUAGGUGCUAUGAACGCUAUAUUCGUGUUCGAGGAGCCGAGUGACCCGACACCGUGCGCCUACGGCAGGUGCUUGCCUCUUACAGCCUUCUCACUGGUGUCGGCUCCUCUCAUACCUUUAAUGCCGCCUUGGUAAGAGCCAGACCCGAAAGAAGUAAGCAUCUGCUUCUCUCUCUAGACGGUCGCGCGAGUUUCAGAUCGUCGGAGGCACGACCGAGUGGGGGAGAGGAUUGAGCCACGCGCCAACCAUCCCCUCCAAUUUUCCUUCUUCACCUUUCACAGUAUGUACAUACUUCGUGUCCAUUGUACUACUUAUAUGCACCCUGCAUGUGUGUUCUAACGUGCAGACUGUGCUUGGACGUAUGACGCAACCGACCAGUCUGCAAAUCGACAAAUAUACAAACUCAUUUUUUCAGAGAAAAUUCGACUUUCGAUCUCUUAAGGGGAGGAACUUCGAGUAAACCGUUCAAUUAAAGAUGAUUUUCGGCAAGUUCUUUUGCAACGUCUAACAUUGAUAUUACUUUUCGUUCCUUUUCAAACACAUUCUUUGAUAUUUCGAGAUACAUACAUUUCUUUUAUUACAUUUUAUCGGCGUUCAGUGAAAUAACAAAUCUUGUUCUCCUGGUCGACGAAAUUAUACGUAGCUGUUUGUGCGGUCCGACCGGACCGUUAGCAACAGGAUACGAUCUAGUGCAUAGGGCAUAAAAAGGGAUCAAAACACAUCCUGAUCCGUGGACUUCUUCUUUUAAAAAGAGGAAGAUUCUCUCUAUGGUCGUGGGCUGCCAGAUUAGCUGUAAAUAUUAUUUUUAUCGGCAUAGUAUAAAAAACUUUAAACGCGUUCUCCUCGAAACUAUGUUUCUUGAAUUGGUUGCGAUGAGAUAAAAGAAACGUUUAAAUCCUCAAGAAGUGUCAAUUAAAUUGCUGAAGUUAUUUUUGAUAGCGCGAAAACUCCUGGAGACUGCCAACAGGGCACAAUAAUUGGCUCCUCUAAUAUAAGAUUCUUACCAAUUCGAAAAAAACCGCAAGCAAGAAAGGCAUUUGCAAGGACGAAAGAGAAGCAUAAGUUUGAGCAGAAGUUACAAGAAAAAUUUGCAACUGGUUUCGCGCUACAGCAAUGUUCCCGACCGUUUAAGUAGCUCGUGCUGCUCUUGAAAUAACAUUCUCGGUUAAAAAGGAGAAAAUUGCAGUGCGCAUAAUCGUGGCUUCGAAAAAAGAGAAAAUAUAGAGGCGACAAUCGCGACAGAUGCUCGGAGACAUAGGUGAAGUCGCUUUCACACCUACGACUCUUUUCUCGAAUACGAAUCACGCGUAAUUUUCGAUAAUACUGCCAUUCGAAGCGUUCAACCCUUUCCGAGCCAAUUGAAACCACCUACAGGAAGGUUCCAGCGAGAUUAUUUGAAUAAGACGUCAAGGCAAUGGAAUGGGGCAGCUGCGAGGCUGGCUCAGCAUUUUUCGAGUUUUCCAAUGAUUUUUGCAUGGCGCAGAUGAUGCGGGCACGCGACCACCCUUCCUCGACCCUUUUCUCCUUCUUCCUCGAUACCCGCAGAAACCCUUUCGGAAACUGUCCACCGUGAGUUACGAGGAUCUCGAUGUUCCGAGCGGAACCAGGCAAGAGCAAAACAGAGCCUACCGUGGCAGAUGCUCGGUUUUCCUGAUUGAAAAACGCUCCACCGCCAACUGUGUACAUGUCAAAACAGGAUAAUCCCCUGGGCUCCUUCCGCUGGGAUACUCGGCCUGUAUACUUCACUUUUUCAUUCAAAUGUGACGUUAAAUGCAUUCAUAUUCGCACGAUGCCACAGCGGUCUAAAACGCGAUUCUUGUUGAGCAAAAUGAUUUUUGUAGUUAUAUUUCUCUCUAUAUGUGUGUAUAGUAAUUCAAUAAAAUAUUCGGACACCGUACAAAAAGGAAUAACCUUCUAAAAAUUGAAUCUAAUAAUUUGCAUUUUUUUAGAUAUAACAUCGACUAAUUUACUACACAAAGUCUAAACAAAAAGAAAUUGUUCUUUUAACUUUUAUAUAUGAACCUCAUGGUAUACUUAUAAUACAGUUCCAGAUAACACAAAGUCGUCUUUAAGACGUCUUAAAGACGUCUGGUGUAGGACAUUCGGGACGCCUUUAAGAUGUCCCUAUGAACAGCCGACGUACGGUCUGGAAACGUUUUAUCUUACAAAUCAAGACGUCUUUAAGAUGUGUAAAAGUAGACCGUCCGCAGCCCGAAAUUAAAUGUAGAAAUUGCAUGUAGGAGCGAAUUUAAAGGAAAUAAAUCUUAUUAAAUUAGCAA